UGAAUACGAGACGCUACGGCGUCGAAGCAGUCUAUGUCAUACUUCCAAGAAAAGCUCGCAAUGUCUUAAACAAAUAAUGCCUGUACCAUAACCGACACAGGUGGGUAGGUAGAGUAUACUAAGGGGCGCGAGAUAACUCUCUCUAAGGAACUCGGCAAAAUGUCUCCGUAACUUCGGGAGAAGGAGUGCCUUAUUUAUAAGGUUGCAAUAACAAGAUCCAAGCAACUGUUUAUCAAAAACACAGGUCUCCGCUAAGUCGUAAGACGAUGUAUGGGGGCUGACGCCUGCCCAGUGCCAGAAGGUUAAAGAAGUUGGUUAGCAUUCGCGAAGCUGAUGACUGAAGCCCUGGUGAACGGCGGCCGUAACGAUAACGGUCCUAAGGUAGCGAAAUUCCUUGUCGGGUAAGUUCCGACCCGCACGAAAGGCGUAAUGAUUUGGAUACUGUCUCGGAGAGGGACUCGGUGAAAUAGACUUGUCUGUGAAGAUGCGGACUACCUGCACCUGGACAGAAAGACCCUAUGAAGCUUUACUGUAACCUGAAAUUGAAAUUGGACCUUAUUCGCGCAGCAUAAGUGGGAGGCUUUGAGCAUAUUCUUGCGGGAAUAUUGGAGCCAUCAGUGAGAUACCACUCUUGUAAUGUUAGAUUUCUAACUUUGGAUCAUGAUCUGGUCAAAGAACAGUUUCAGGCGGGCAGUUUGACUGGGGCGGUCGCCUCCUAAAUGGUAACGGAGGCGUACAAAGGUUUCCUCUGAACGGGUAGAAAUCGUAUCUAGAGUGUAAAGGCAUAAGGAAGCUUGACUGUGAGACCUACAAGUCGAGCAGGGACGAAAGUCGGUCUUAGUGAUCUGACGGUGCUGAGUGGAAAGGCCGUCACUCAACGGAUAAAAGUUACUCUAGGAUAACAGGCUGAUCUCCCCCAAGAGUUCACAUCGACGGGGAGGUUUGGCACCUCGAUGUCGGCUCAUCGCAUCCUGGGGCGGUAGUACGUCCCAAGGGUUGGGCUGUUCGCCCAUGAAAGCGGUACGCGAGCUGGGUUCAGAACGUCGUGAGACAGUUCGGUCCAUAUCCGGUGUAGGCGUUAGAAUAUUGAGAGGAGCCUUCUUUAGUACGAGAGGACCGAGAAGGACAUACCUCUGGUGUACCAGUUAUCGUGCCAACGGUAAACGCUGGGUAGCUAUGUACGGAGAGGAUAACCGCUGAAAGCAUCUAAGUGGGAAGCCCACCUCAAGAUAAGUAUUCUC
rnacentral:rRNA from 1 species